AAAAAAAGACCAUCGGUCUACCCAGUAAUUUCAAUCGCUCGGUGGAAGAUCUUCCCUUCAUCGU
rnacentral:pre_miRNA from 1 species